CUUAAGGCUUCACAAAAAAAAACUGGACACAAAAGCCCUUGAAACAAAAAAAAUUAAAACUGAAGUAAAUUAUGAAACUAAAUGUUUCAUGGGCAUUUGUGUAAAUAAAACAGAAAAAAAAAUUGACAAAAAAAAAGGAAGAAUUUCAAACGUGGGGAAAGGCUGGAGAAUAAUUAGAGAGUUUGCCAUGGUGUUGGAUACGUAAGUCGCCGCUUCGCUCCUGCGCCCGCGCUCCGGCUUUCUCGGAAUCGUCGCUGAAUUAGCACGUUUAGUUUUCAAACUGCAUAGUUUCCGUACAGUUUUCAAACUCACUGAUUACCAGCGAAAACCAACCCACCCACCCACGUCUCUCCUCUAUUCCCCAUUUUCUGAUGAAACUUCUUCCUCACACAGACUCUGUAACCUCCCACGAUUCCACGGACAACUCUUUUCUUUCUGUUUUCUCUCUGCCUUUCGCCGUUUGUGAAGCAGAAACCACAUACAAAGCUCAUAAGCAGCAAAGGGUUAAAAACUGGCGUAUUGUAUCCGACGGGAAGAUCCCUCUGAAACCAAGGCAAUCCAAUCUGGGAUCCUUAAACCAUUGCCAUCCAAGAGCAUUCCCGCGUGCAGAUGACAUGCCUGAAUGAUCAACACCAGCACCCCACCCAACACUAGCAGCCUUUGGUUCUUCCACAGAGGAGGAUUUUUCAGAGACGUUUCCCGCAUAACGCUGCCAGCAUUGUAACUCUCUUCCAAAUCCAGGUGUUUGUGAAAAUUCCCCAGAGACUAAUCGAUAGUUUGAAUGUGUAAGUCGAGUGAAUUAAGGUUGUUGUAAUCUAUUUGUGUGUUUAAUCAGUAAUCCAGUGAAUUAAGGUUGCUGUAAAGAGACCAUCCACAAAUUAGUACGAACCAGAGAGAGACAGAGAUACCGAGAGCACUACGACUGCGAGGCCGCCGCCACCGCCGGAGCGAUCACUCCAAUUACAAUACCCGAGACAUCACCUUAUCCCAGGUAGGCAUUCGGCCGGCAACCAAACGCCGUCGUUUUGCUGUGAAAUUUGUUACCUGUCUCUGUCCACCCACCAAGAUCAAUCUCCAUCUCUCUCCUUCCACUUCCUUCCCACCUCUCUCAGAUGAAAGAAGGAAGUUCAAUUUAUCAAGGAUCAAGGUUUGGACUACUAGACAGCACGCCGCCUUCGGUUUGAGCAUUCACCAAUAAGCGAAAGUUUCUUUUAGUUGCACGGAGAUAUAGGCAUGGCUCUCACACCGAGUAUAUAAAUAAAUUAUAAUAUCACUUGAUGCUGAUGACAUAUCCCAACGAACCAAUGCUUAUGUGGGAAAAUUAAGGUAAGGUUUUUUUAUGAAAGAAAGUAAAGUUAAGGGUGGUUUUCUUUUUUAUUCCAGGAGUUGUGGUUCUUCAUUUUUUGGGGCCUUUUUCUCUGCUAUUGUAACAUUUUGGUAAUAGAGGUAAGUAAUUUAGAGUUAUUCUUUUCAGGCUUUUCUGUAAGAAAGUAAUAAUUCUUUUGCGCAAAUUCUGAGGUUUC